CGGAUCAGUGAUCAUAACUGCUAGUAUAUGAGUCUCAGAUGACGAAUGACAUGCGAAUGAAACUCUGAGGUCCAA
ensembl:snoRNA